GAUGAACGCUGGCGGCGUGCUUAACACAUGCCAGUCGAACGAUGAAGCCCAGCUUGCUGGGUGGUUUAGUGGCGAACGGGUGAGUAACACGUGAGUAACCUGCCCCUAACUCUGGGAUAAGCCUGGGAAACUGGGUCUAAUACCGGAUAGGAGCGUGCACCGCAUGGUGUGUGUUGGAGAGAUUUAUCGUUUUUGGUUGGACUCGCGGCCUAUCAGCUUGUUGGUGGGGUAUUGGCUCCCGAAGGCGACGACGGGUAGCCGGCCUGAGAGGGUGACCGGCGAGACUGGGACUGAGACACGGCCCAGACGCCUACGGGAGGCAGCAGUGGGGAAUAUUGCACAAUGGGCGCAAGCCUGAGGCAGCGACGCCGCGUGGGGGAUGACGGCCUUCGGGUUGUAAACCUCUUUCAGUAGGGAAGAAGCGAAAGUGACGGUACCUGCAGAAGAAGCACCGGCUAACUACGUG
rnacentral:rRNA from 1 species